UAAAUAAUCGAGCGCAACAGCGCCUCCUUCUCUAAGCUUCUUCUACGCGAAUUCUAAGAACAGUGCAGAGUUUACAUAAUAAACGGAAAGACAAAGAGGAGAUAAAAAUGGCAGUGCAUCGCGAUGGUUUAAUAGAGGAAGAAGAAAACGAAGAAGACAAUGCACUCUUUGAAGAACACGACUUAAUCCACCUUGAUUCCGAUACUCCACCUCACCUCCAGGAACUCGCCGCCGCUGCUCAGGUUGGCGACGUCGACGCUCUUCGCCGUGCCCUAGAUAACUUGAAUGGAAGCAUUGAUGAACCAGUAGAGGAUGGGGAUACAGCUCUUCAUCUAGCCUGUCUUUAUGGUUAUUUACCCUGUGUUGAGCUACUUCUGGAAAGGGGAGCAAACUUAGAGGCUAAGGAUGAAGACGGAGCAAUACCUCUGCAUGAUGCCUGUGCGGGAGGUUUUGCUCAGAUAGUCCAAUUGCUGUUGAAUAGUGCUAAUGGCUCAGAGUGCAUCAGAAGGAUGUUAGAAACAGUUGAUGCUGAGGGCGAUACUCCACUUCACCAUGCAGCAAGAGGUGAACACGUGGAUGUUAUAAGAUUAUUGCUGGCUUCUGGUGCGUCUGUGACAAAAACAAAUGCAUAUGGAAAGAGUCCUACUGAGCUACCUGAACCAGACACAGAAGCUAGGAGGGUACUGGAAUGUGCUGCUAGUGCUGUUUCAUGCCAGUAGGCUACAACUGUAUUCCCUCUCGGAUGAUACAGCAAUGUAUUUCUAAUUCUUGUUAGCCAAUUAACCGCAACAACCACCACCACCACCACCACCUGGUGGCCCUGUGUAUGUUGCCGGUUUCUCCGGUGGUUUAAGCUCUACCGAUUUUGGUUCUGGUGCAGUGGCUUUUGGCUUCAAUUCCUCCUGUCGUUUCUUCUCUAAUUCCUGCAGCAUCUACAAGACAAAAUAUAUGUCAGUUCCAGAAUGCCAGAAUCCUUCGAUUUAUUGUCCAUUUGGACUCUCAUGCAACUUGUAGUUUUUUUUCCUUUAGAAAGGGUUCUCAAUCUUCAAGGAGUUUAAGACAAGACCACUUUCUCCCGAAAAAAUGGAACAUUUAAUGAUUAAUACGUAAUAAUUAAAAAUAAUAUAAAUGUAUUAUUUAUUUAUC